rnacentral:rRNA from 1 species
AAAUCAUCAUGCCCCUUAUGACCUGGGCUACACACGUGCUACAAUGGGAAGUACAACGAGUUGCGAAGUCGCGAGGCUAAGCUAAUCUCUUAAAGCUUCUCUCAGUUCGGAUUGCAGGCUGCAACUCGCCUGCAUGAAGCCGGAAUCGCUAGUAAUCGCGGAUCAGCACGCCGCGGUGAAUACGUUCCCGGGCCUUGUACACACCGCCCGUCACACCACGAGAGUUUGUAACACCCGAAGUCGGUGAGGUAACCUUUUGGAGCCAGCCGCCUAAGGUGGGAUAGAUGAUUGGGGUGAAGUCGUAACAAGGUAGCCGUAUCGGAAGGUGCGGCUGGAUCACCUCCUUUCUAAGGAA